UGGGGAAUAUUGCACAAUGGGCGCAAGCCUGAUGCAGCCAUGCCGCGUGUGUGAAGAAGGCCUUCGGGUUGUAAAGCACUUUCAGCGAGGAGGAAGGGUAGUGUGUUAAUAGCACAUUGCAUUGACGUUACUCGCAGAAGAAGCACCGGCUAACUCCGUGCCAGCAGCCGCGGUAAUACGGAGGGUGCAAGCGUUAAUCGGAAUUACUGGGCGUAAAGCGCACGCAGGCGGUUUGUUAAGUCAGAUGUGAAAUCCCCGCGCUUAACGUGGGAACUGCAUUGAAACUGGCAAGCUAGAGUCUUGUAGAGGGGGGUAGAAUUCCAGGUGUAGCGGUGAAAUGCGUAGAGAUCUGGAGGAAUACCGGUGGCGAAGGCGGCCCCCUGGACAAACACUGACGCUCAGGUGCGAAAGCGUGGGGAGCAAACA
rnacentral:rRNA from 1 species